rnacentral:rRNA from 1 species
CCUACGGGAGGCAGCAGUGAGGAAUAUUGGUCAAUGGGCGAGAGCCUGAACCAGCCAAGUAGCGUGAAGGAUGACUGCCCUACGGGUUGUAAACUUCUUUUAUAAAGGAAUAAAGUGAGGCACGUGUGCCUUUUUGUAUGUACUUUAUGAAUAAGGAUCGGCUAACUCCGUGCCAGCAGCCGCGGUAAUACGGAGGAUCCGAGCGUUAUCCGGACUUAGUGGGUUUAAAGGGAGCGUAGGGGGGUUGUUAAGUCAGUUGUGAAAGUCUGCGGCUUAACCGUAAAAUUGCAAUUGAUACUGGCAGCCUUGAGUACAGUAGAGGUAGGCGGAAUUCGUGGUGUAGCGGUAAAAUGCGUAGAUAUCACGAAGAACACCGAUUGCGAAGGCGGCCUACUAGACCGUCACUGACACUGAUGCGCGAAAGUGUGGGUAUCAAACAGGAUUAGAUACCCGAGUAGUC